rnacentral:lncRNA from 1 species
UGUCACGACCGGCCUUAAUUAAGGAUAAUUAAUCCGGGAAAACCAUGACUGGGGAAGGGAAAUUAAGAAGCGGGUUUAGAAAGGGGUGCAUAAAAGAAUACUCAAAGAGCUUGAAUACGCGUGAAAUAUUCCUUAAAAAGGAAAAAGGCAUAGUUCGCAUAAAAAGGGUACUCAACGAACUUGUAUAAGCGUUAUAUUCCUUAAAAGGAAAAAGGCAUCGUUAGGGGCUUGGCUAAAACAUUAUCAGAGUUUGCAACGGAAGGUGUAACUGAAAUAAUCAGUGUUUACAGCGGAAUGCAUAACUGAGAUACAUGUAUGAAGACAUGUAUCCUUUCUGAGCCUACUUUAAGUUCAACAAAAACUCCACUCAGCAACAACACUUCAUCGCCCAUCACAGCUCAACCUGCACAAACAUAAACAUACGAAGGGCUGAGUACAAGAGUACUCAGUGGGCAGUGCCAAGCAUAUAACAUAACAUCAUUAACAAUUUCACAAUAUCGCAUAAGAGGCAUGAGUUUCUUUCAAAUCCUUUGCUCAUUAAACAUUUCCAUAUUCAUAAACAGGAUGAGCGCAUUCUUCAUCAUUAACAAUCAUCAACACGCAUCGUGUCGUGGAGAAGGCCUUCCCCAACGACACGGGCAUCGCACCGUGAAGGGGGCCUCCCUCAGCGGUCACGGCAUCGUACUAUUGAGGGAGGCCUCCCCCAAUAGACGCUGUAACACUGGAUACUACUGGCAUCGCGCCGCGAGAGAGGCCUCUCUCAGCGGACACGGGCAUCGCGCCGUGAGGAAGGCCCUCCUCAGCGGACACGGCAUCGUACUGUUGAGGGAGGCCUCCCCCAACAGACGCAAGCAUCAAACAUAAGCAUAAACUUAUCAGCGUAAAGCAUUCAAGCGUAAAUAAGCGUAAUCAUUUAACGUGCAUCAUAAUAAAGGUUAACUCAUUUAAGCGUAAUAAAGCAUACCAUACUUGAAGAUCCAAUUUGCAUUUUAAAGCAUAACACUUGCAUAGCAUUUUAUUUACGCGUAAGAAAUUGCCCACCUGAUAGCAAAGUUUUGCU